UCUUCUGCUUGGUCACUUACUGAUCUCUCUCUGGUUGAUGAUGGUGGAGCUUGAAUGGAGGCUAGUCUUUUGCUACUUAGCCUACCAAAUAUCCAUCUCCUCCUCUUGAUCUCCUUCUGAUACACCCAAUGACUCCAUUGAGUCUUGAAUACUUUAUGAAGCUCUUCACAUAAUGUCAUUUGAACUGAUUUCUUAUCAGUCACAUGAUUUAAUCCCAAGAUUCAAACCAAAUGAGACUGACAAGAAUUUGCAUAUAUGUCAUCCAUUGUUGAUUUGAACUGGCACCCAGAAAAGGGAUUCUUGAAUGGAGAUAAAA